CCCGUGUUGCCCGAACCUAUGUUGCCUCGGCGGGCCCCGCGCCCGCCGACGGCCCCCCUGAACGCUGUCUGAAGUUGCAGUCUGAGACCUAUAACGAAAUUAGUUAAAACUUUCAACAACGGAUCUCUUGGUUCCGGCAUCGAUGAAGAACGCAGCGAAAUGCGAUAACUAAUGUGAAUUGCAGAAUUCAGUGAAUCAUCGAGUCUUUGAACGCACAUUGCGCCCUCUGGUAUUCCGGAGGGCAUGCCUGUCCGAGCGUCAUUGCUGCCCUCAAGCCCGGCUUGUGUGUUGGGCCCCGUCCCCCCCGCCGGGGGGACGGGCCCGAAAGGCAGCGGCGGCACCGCGUCCGGUCCUCGAGCGUAUGGGGCUUCGUCACCCGCUCUAGUAGGCCCGGCCGGCGCCAGCCGACCCCCAACCUUUAAUUAUCUCAGGUUGACCUCGGAUCAGGUAGGGAUACCCGCUGAACUUAAGCAUAUCAAUAAG
rnacentral:rRNA from 1 species